GGUGCCUACGGGGCGCAGCAGUGGGGAAUAUUGCACAAUGGGGGAAACCCUGAUGCAGCGACGCCGCGUGAAGGAAGAAGUAUUUCGGUAUGUAAACUUCUAUCAGCAGGGAAGAAAAUGACGGUACCUGACUAAGAAGCCCCGGCUAACUACGAGCCAGCAGCCGCGGUAAUACGUAGGGGGCAAGCGUUAUCCGGAUUUACUGGGUGUAAAGGGAGCGUAGGCGGUUUAGCAAGUCAGAAGUGAAAGCCCGGGGCUCAACUACGGGAUGGGUUUUGAAAGUGGUGAA
rnacentral:rRNA from 1 species